UACUAGAGUAGCACUCGCAUAUCAAUAAGCGGAGGAAAAGAAACUAACAAGGAUUCCCCUAGUAACGGCGAGUGAAGCGGGAAGAGCUCAAAUUUGAAAUCUUAAAGGGUUUCCCUUUACGAAUUGUAGUUUAAAGAAGUGUUUUCUGUUGGGGUUUUGGUAAAAGUUCUUUGGAAUAGGACAUCAUAGAGGGUGAGAAUCCCGUAUUUGACCUUUACUUUCAACUUUGUGAUACACUUUCAAAGAGUCGGAUUGUUUGGGAAUGCAGUCCAAAAUGGGUGGUAAAUUUCAUCUAAAGCUAAAUAUUGGCGAGAGACCGAUAGCGAACAAGUACCGUGAGGGAAAGAUGAAAAGAACUUUGAAAAGAGAGUUAAACAGUACGUGAAAUUGUCAAAAGGGAAGCGUUUGACACCAGUGUUGUUUUUCUGAAAAUCAAUUAAAGAACUGUUUAUGCUAAGCUGUUUAGACUUUAUCAGCUAACUGUUUAGUUUUGAGCUUUUCUUUAAUGCACUUUUCAGUUAACAAGUCAACAUCAAUUUCUUUUGCUGUAAAAAAGCUUGAGGAAGGUGGCUUGAGAUUCGUCUUAAGUGUUUAUAGCCUCUUGCCUAUGCAGUCGAAGAGAUUGAGGUCUGCAGCGUAGAUCCUUCGGGGCUAAAUGCAUUUGUGCUAAGUUAUAGCAUUUUAUAGACAACUUGUUGACUAUGAUUUGUCUUGUAGCUUACUCGCUUAUGUUAUUUUACCUACGCUUAGGAUGUUGAAGUCUAUCACACAUCUCU
rnacentral:rRNA from 1 species